GAUGAACGCUAGCGGCAGGCUUAAUACAUGCAAGUCGUGGGGCAGCAGGGUUGUAGCAAUACAAUCGCUGGCGACCGGCAAACGGGUGCGUAACACGUACGCAACCUUCCCGUUACUGUGGCAUAGCCCAGGGAAACUUGGAUUAAUACCACAUAUUAUAUUGAUGAGGCAUCUCAUUGAUAUCAAAGCUUCGGCGGUAACGGAUGGGCGUGCGGUUGAUUAGGUAGUUGGCGGGGUAACGGCCCACCAAGCCUACGAUCAAUAGCUGAUGUGAGAGCAUGAUCAGCCACACGGGCACUGAGACACGGGCCCGACUCCUACGGGAGGCAGCAGUAAGGAAUAUUGGGCAAUGGACGAAAGUCUGACCCAGCCAUGCCGCGUGAAGGAUUAAGGUCCUCUGGAUUGUAAACUUCUUUUCUCUGGGGCGAAAACCAGCUAUUCUUAGCUAUUUGACAGUACCAGAGGAAUAAGCACCGGCUAACUUCGUGCCAGCAGCCGCCGUAACAC
rnacentral:rRNA from 1 species